rnacentral:RNase_P_RNA from 1 species
UUACCGCGGUUUCCAGUCUACGUUGCUGUGGAACUCGUGUCUGUGGCGCUUGCCCGAGAUUACUUCAUAUCAUAGCUGAGAUAAUUUAGAAGCUGUCUCCGCCAUCAAUUAAGUCUGUCUACUAAUUGUUAAGUUUUAUUUUUUAUGUACUUACACAAACACUAUAGUCAUCUCAGACUGUGCUAGCGCGGACUUUCCUC